UUCAAAGAACAGGAGGAUUUAGAUCCACAGCUGCAUUCCUGUCCUCCCGUCCCCUUCCCUCAGUCCCCCUUAUACGUGAGAACCCCAGAGAAGCCCAAAGGAGAGGAGCAGGUAGAUGCCUUCACUGGACUGGGGCUGCAUGGCAAAGCCCAGCUGAUCAGGUUCCUGCUAUUAUUUCUGCAGGAAUCUGUGCCCUAAAGAGCAAUUCCAACGAAAGCCUCUAGGCUGGAUCCUGGCCAGGCUUCAUGUUGCAGCGUUAAAGGGGCAAUUUCAGUUCAGGGUGGAGACCUUUUUGCUUUGUUUUGUUUUUAAAUCUGGAGUAUUUUGCACUGCACAACUGUUUGAACCCACAGUCAUGCUACAAUGAGAAGAGGAUGAAAUAGAGGAAGACAGUGGAGAAGUAACAGAAAUCCAGCAGUAAAGUAGCAGAUGGGUUCCAGCAGAGCCAAACACAUUAGGCCCAAGUUUUGGGCCCGGAGGAGUCCAAACCAGAAGCUGGCUGAGGAGCUCCUCACCAAAAGAGGAGCAGCUGAAUCACCAGGCAAGUUUUGGCAGCACCGGACAAAGAGAGGGAGGGGGCAGGACAUCCUUUAGUAGCAGCCUGGGGGACGGUAACCUCGCUCACCAUCAGCAUUGCACCAACCAAACCACAAGUGAGCACUCCCUCCGCACCCACGCCGCCAAGCGAAAGAAACCUUUCACCCAAGCACCGCCACUGUUCAACAGAUGUGGUUCCCUCUCCAAAGUCAAAAAAAAACUUCAGUCCUCAUAACUUGACAGGAAAAAGACCCCUCACAGGCAAGAUGGGUGUUUGUUUUAGCUUGUGCUUCCACUCAGUCUUGGCUGUUACAGACAGAGCGACAGUGGGGACUGGCAUCUGUAGGGAACUUCUGCCCUGGAAGAAGGGAAAAGGUUGUUUUCAUGGAAUGAAUCCCACAUCCCAGACUGAUCUUGUCAGUAACUUGCUGAAUGGCUCAAGGGAAUCAGAUAGAUCUUAGAACAUUUUUUUUAAAGUGUAAAUGUUUGCCUAUUAUUAAAAAAAGCAGAGUUAAAUAUUUUCAACCACUUGUAAUGGUUUGGUAGCCAUCCAUGAACUUCCCCCUUAUUCCUAGAUUAAAAACUAAAGGCAGACCCAAAAGAUAGCUUUUGCUGCAGUAGGAUACACUGAGCGCUUACUUUCCUGGCCCACAGUAACCUCAGUCCGGGAGGGGGCUGCUGAUAUCCCCUGUAUAAGGAGUCAAGUCUCAUGCAGAGAGAAAAAUAAUGGUGGCUUGGGCCCCCAAAAUUGUUGCGAUAUUUCCUGUUUCAGGGGUAGAAAGUACCUCUAGAGAGGAGACAAGUGGAAAGUAUGUUUCUUACUGAGCAGAGUGCCAUCUUUUUGUAUUAAAAUAGAGUUCUAUCACUCAUCAACUUUCAAUUUGAUCCAAAGCACACUUUGAUUUUCAGUUUCCUCUCGUGUCUUGCAUCAUCAUAUCUCUGGUUGCUCAUACAAUUAGCUCUUGAGUGCUAGUGUGCUCAGGGUGACAUUUUAAUGACAAUCUGAUACGCUGCAUCAUACGGGGUUGGAAGUGCCCCACCAGCCCUGGUGCCUCCAGAGAAAGCAAUGCUGGAAAGGACCUUUCCAAGCCUUGACUUGAGUCCUCUAUGAUUUGCAAUUAAAGACAGUUCAUGAAGGAAGAUUGGGCCUUGGCAACUCUCCAUUCAUUACUGACAAAUUAACAGCUUUAUAAUUCCACCUUUUCUUUUGUUCUUUGUGCACAGACACACACAUGCACACUUUGUGACUUGGGUUUUUUUCAUCUUGACAAAUCCUUCCUCCGGCUUCCCUCAGUUUUCAACAACACAACAGGGAGUCAAUCAGGAAAGCUUUAAGAGGCCGAUAAAACGGGUUUGUUUAAAUGGUUUCCAGUUCAGUCCAGAGUAUUGUGAGGAAAUACACAAAGGCAGUGGGAAAUAAUUAUCUUUCUUCUGAAAGACCUCUUAGCCACUAUUUUAAAGUACAAAUGUGGAUAAAAUGUAGGCAUUUUCAAGCAUGUGUGUGCCAACCUGGGUGCUUCAGAGAUCACAGCUGCUCCCUGAAGGUCACCAGAUAGGGAUGGACUCACUCAGAUGAAACUGAAGUUUCAUCAUGCUUUCAUACCUGUAAUUAAUUUACCAGAAAGCAGUAAGCAUUGUCUUUACAAAUGGAUUUUGAAGACCUGUAUCAGCUGUGGCUUGCAGCAACAUUUUGGGUCUGAAGGCCACCACCUGUGAUCAGCUUGCAGCUGAAACCAUCCCGAUUACACAAACUGGACCAGUGGGGUAGGAGAUAAAGGCCAUCAGAGCAGGAGAACAUCAAGAAGGACUUCUAACCCAGUGCCCCACAGCUCAGGAAUGCUCUCCCAGGCUGACAUGGCUCAGCUGUGUCCCAUUUCAAAGCAAGCCGGGCUGGCACUACUUCAGAGGUCUCCUUCUGCCAUUGUGCAGCACAGACAGGACUCUCCUGCAUGGCCAUCUGAGGGAAGGGGUUGUUUUAUUUAUAAGAUGGGAGGAAAAAAUAAAGUUACUGUAUUGUUUUUCAUUUUGGA